UUUAUUGGAGAGUUUGAUCCUGGCUCAGGAUGAACGCUGGCGGCGUGCCUAAUACAUGCAAGUCGAGCGAAUGGAUUAAGAGCUUGCUCUUAUGAAGUUAGCGGCGGACGGGUGAGUAACACGUGGGUAACCUGCCCAUAAGACUGGGAUAACUCCGGGAAACCGGGGCUAAUACCGGAUAACAUUUUGAACUGCAUGGUUCGAAAUUGAAAGGCGGCUUCGGCUGUCACUUAUGGAUGGACCUGCGUCGCA
rnacentral:rRNA from 1 species